rnacentral:ncRNA from 19 species
AUAAAAUUGUAGCGCCAAGGUGUCCGCCGCAAGGCGGGUGAAAAGGGAAUCCGGUGAGAAUCCGGAGCGAUGCAGUCACUGUGUACGGGAGCGGACCUGCAAAGGAAGCGCCGGACCGGCCAGAUGGCCGGUGUGUGCGUCCUUACCACUGGGAAACCGGGAAGGGCAGAGCCGCGAAGAACGAAGUCAGGAGACCUGCCUUGGCGUGGAAUCUCAGA